AGCGUACACGGUGGAUGCCCUGGCAGUCAGAGGCGAUGAAGGACGUGCUAAUCUGCGAUAAGCGUCGGUAAGGUGAUAUGAACCGUUAUAACCGGCGAUUUCCGAAUGGGGAAACCCAGUGUGAUUCGUCACACUAUCAUUAACUGAAUCCAUAGGUUAAUGAGGCGAACCGGGGGAACUGAAACAUCUAAGUACCCCGAGGAAAAGAAAUCAACCGAGAUUCCCCAGUAGCGGCGAGCGAACGGGGAGCAGCCCAGAGCCUGAAUCAGUAUGUGUGUUAGUGGAAGCGUCUGGAAAGGCGCGCGAUACAGGGUGACAGCCCCGUACACAAAAAUGCACAUGCUGUGAGCUCGAUGAGUAGGGCGGGACACGUGGUAUCCUGUCUGAAUAUGGGGGGACCAUCCUCCAAGGCUAAAUACUCCUGACUGACCGAUAGUGAACCAGUACCGUGAGGGAAAGGCGAAAAGAACCCCGGCGAGGGGAGUGAAAAAGAACCUGAAACCGUGUACGUACAAGCAGUGGGAGCACAGAGCAAUCUGUGUGACUGCGUACCUUUUGUAUAAUGGGUCAGCGACUUAUAUUCUGUAGCAAGGUUAACCGAAUAGGGGAGCCGAAGGGAAACCGAGUCUUAACUGGGCGUUAAGUUGCAGGGUAUAGACCCGAAACCCGGUGAUCUAGCCAUGGGCAGGUUGAAGGUUGGGUAACACUAACUGGAGGACCGAACCGACUAAUGUUGAAAAAUUAGCAGAUGACUUGUGGCUGGGGGUGAAAGGCCAAUCAAACCGGGAGAUAGCUGGUUCUCCCCGAAAGCUAUUUAGGUAGCGCCUCGUGAAUUCAUCUCCGGGGGUAGAGCACUGUUUCGGCAAGGGGGUCAUCCCGACUUACCAACCCGAUGCAAACUGCGAAUACCGGAGAAUGUUAUCACGGGAGACACACGGCGGGUGCUAACGUCCGUCGUGAAGAGGGAAACAACCCAGACCGCCAGCUAAGGUCCCAAAGUCAUGGUUAAGUGGGAAACGAUGUGGGAAGGCCCAGACAGCCAGGAUGUUGGCUUAGAAGCAGCCAUCAUUUAAAGAAAGCGUAAUAGCUCACUGGUCGAGUCGGCCUGCGCGGAAGAUGUAACGGGGCUAAACCAUGCACCGAAGCUGCGGCAGCGACGCUGAUGCGUUGUUGGGUAGGGGAGCGUUCUGUAAGCCUGUGAAGGUGUGCUGUGAGGCAUGCUGGAGGUAUCAGAAGUGCGAAUGCUGACAUAAGUAACGAUAAAGCGGGUGAAAAGCCCGCUCGCCGGAAGACCAAGGGUUCCUGUCCAACGUUAAUCGGGGCAGGGUGAGUCGACCCCUAAGGCGAGGCCGAAAGGCGUAGUCGAUGGGAAACAGGUUAAUAUUCCUGUACUUGGUGUUACUGCGAAGGGGGGACGGAGAAGGCUAUGUUGGCCGGGCGACGGUUGUCCCGGUUUAAGCGUGUAGGCUGGUUUUCCAGGCAAAUCCGGAAAACUAAGGCUGAGGCGUGAUGACGAGGCACUACGGUGCUGAAGCAACAAAUGCCCUGCUUCCAGGAAAAGCCUCUAAGCAUCAGGUAACAUCAAAUCGUACCCCAAACCGACACAGGUGGUCAGGUAGAGAAUACCAAGGCGCUUGAGAGAACUCGGGUGAAGGAACUAGGCAAAAUGGUGCCGUAACUUCGGGAGAAGGCACGCUGAUAUGUAGGUGAAGUCCCUCGCGGAUGGAGCUGAAAUCAGUCGAAGAUACCAGCUGGCUGCAACUGUUUAUUAAAAACACAGCACUGUGCAAACACGAAAGUGGACGUAUACGGUGUGACGCCUGCCCGGUGCCGGAAGGUUAAUUGAUGGGGUCAGCGCAAGCGAAGCUCUUGAUCGAAGCCCCGGUAAACGGCGGCCGUAACUAUAACGGUCCUAAGGUAGCGAAAUUCCUUGUCGGGUAAGUUCCGACCUGCACGAAUGGCGUAAUGAUGGCCAGGCUGUCUCCACCCGAGACUCAGUGAAAUUGAACUCGCUGUGAAGAUGCAGUGUACCCGCGGCAAGACGGAAAGACCCCGUGAACCUUUACUAUAGCUUGACACUGAACAUUGAGCCUUGAUGUGUAGGAUAGGUGGGAGGCUUUGAAGUGUGGACGCCAGUCUGCAUGGAGCCGACCUUGAAAUACCACCCUUUAAUGUUUGAUGUUCUAACGUUGACCCGUAAUCCGGGUUGCGGACAGUGUCUGGUGGGUAGUUUGACUGGGGCGGUCUCCUCCUAAAGAGUAACGGAGGAGCACGAAGGUUGGCUAAUCCUGGUCGGACAUCAGGAGGUUAGUGCAAUGGCAUAAGCCAGCUUGACUGCGAGCGUGACGGCGCGAGCAGGUGCGAAAGCAGGUCAUAGUGAUCCGGUGGUUCUGAAUGGAAGGGCCAUCGCUCAACGGAUAAAAGGUACUCCGGGGAUAACAGGCUGAUACCGCCCAAGAGUUCAUAUCGACGGCGGUGUUUGGCACCUCGAUGUCGGCUCAUCACAUCCUGGGGCUGAAGUAGGUCCCAAGGGUAUGGCUGUUCGCCAUUUAAAGUGGUACGCGAGCUGGGUUUAGAACGUCGUGAGACAGUUCGGUCCCUAUCUGCCGUGGGCGCUGGAGAACUGAGGGGGGCUGCUCCUAGUACGAGAGGACCGGAGUGGACGCAUCACUGGUGUUCGGGUUGUCAUGCCAAUGGCACUGCCCGGUAGCUAAAUGCGGAAGAGAUAAGUGCUGAAAGCAUCUAAGCACGAAACUUGCCCCGAGAUGAGUUCUCCCUGACUCCUUGA
rnacentral:rRNA from 1 species